CACAUCUGGACCUCACACCCACCCCCUCUCUCCUCUCUCUCUCGUCGAGAAGAAAGAAAGGAAGCGAAAGCUCUAGUCUCGCCACCUGCACACAGACCGCUCGUGAGGCGAGAGAGAGGCCGAGGCCACCAAACCAAAAAGGAAAAGAAUUUUUUUCUUGGAGAAGAACACCGUACGCAUAAGCAUCGAGGAGGGAGGCGGGGGCAUACAGGAGAGGGUGGAAGGGAAACCUAGUCAAACAGAGACGGAUCUGCCCUCCGCCGCCGACGCCGACGCCGACAACGAUCGCCUGGGUCUGUCUGGAUGUGGAGAUCCUGGAUUCCUAGAAUCCAAUUUCUUGAGAUGGAUAUGAAGUGGGCAACAAGAGGACGAAGGGGGCUGGGUCUGAACAUGACAGGAAUGCAGCGAAGAAUCGUAUUCAGAUUUCUUGCUAUACAGAAGGUCAUUAAUAGUUCUCUUCCAGUAGGUGCUAUUGCCCUAGAAGAUUGUUACUGAAUCCACCAGUUAAAUAUUCAAGUUAUAUGCAUUUACACAUGACAUGGGGUCUCGUGGAAGGAUGUUAUUUGACCUCAAUGAGCUCCCAACAGAAGCUGACGAAGAAGAAGCUGCUGUUGUUGUGUCCCAACCUCAACUUCCUGUUCCCAAUAUGUAUCCCUCAAAUUUGUUUCCACCACAAGAAGUGCCUUGGUCACAAGGGAUAUUAAACAAUCAUGCCUUUAAUCAUGCAUCUUCUGGUUCAGGUUUUCAGCCUUUUGUGAGAAGUACAGAUACACAAAAUGUUAAGAAUUCUAUGAAUACAGAAGAGAAUUUGGAUACUACUGCGGCUUCUACAUCUGUGGUAACUAAUCAUCUAUCUGAUAGUGUUGUGUGUCCUACUGGGCCCUCCAAUCAGGUUCCACAAUCAGUUGAAAGAGAAGAGGGAGAGUGGUCUGAUGCAGAUGGUGCUUCUGACACAGCAGGUAGUAGUGUCAGCAACAAGGAAGAAUCUGCUGGUACUGCAAGUACUCAAGUGAAAAGAGAGUCCCAAGAGAGUGGACCUGCUAUUGUUAAAUGUAGUGAUGUGAUUAAAGAUGACAUUGCUGCUGAACCUGGUGACACUGAAAUGUCUGAUGUGUCUAAAGGUCCAGUCCUUCAUGGUCCGACAGGACUAGAGAGCAUGAAAACUUCUGAAUCUAAAGGAAGUCAACCUGUGGAUGAUUUGGACAAGUGCACUAAGUCAAAGGAUGUCAGAGGAGUAGAAGCCAGUUAUGCAUUGAAGUGCACGAACAACCCUGCGAAGAGACCUAAGUUAGAUGAUCACAAAGUUGCAAUGCUUGGUAAAAAGCGAGCGAGGCAGACUGUGUUCAUCAAUGUUGAGGAUGCAAAACAAGCUGGCACAAUGAAGACAAUUACACCGAGGAGACAGUCAUCUUUUCCAGCACCAAUUGUUACACGUACCGUGAAGGAAGCUUCUCGCGGUGUUGGUGAAAGAGCUGCAGACAAGCAGAGCCAACCAGUCAUCAGGGAUCAGAGACAAUCUGAGAUGAUUGGUUCAGAAAGAAGUAAUUCUGCAGAUCCUUGUGACCAAAAUGGAGAAUCUAAUGGUGAUUUUGAGUUGGGAUCUCACGGCAGGUCAAAGAAAAUGAAUGCCGAAGAACCCCCCUCAGAUAGUUACCAACAAUCUGUGCCAAGGCAGGCCUUUUCAAAGCAGCCCACGGAUUCCAAGCAGUUCAAAGGCAGACCAGUCUCUUCUCAAAGAGCACUUCUAACAGGACAACAUACUGCAGAUCAGAAGCCAGCUAACAAAAGGUCUCUUGUUCCAAAGAAGCAAGCUUCAGUUAAUAAUACACAGUAUAAUGACACAUCUGUCGAACGACUUAUACGGGAAGUGACAAAUGGCAAGUUCUGGCACAAUCCGGAGGAGGAAGAACUUCAGUGUGUUCCUGGAAGCUUUGAUUCUGCCGAGGAGUACAUUAGAGUUUUUGAGCCUUUGCUUUUUGAGGAAUGCAGAGCUCAGCUAUAUAGUUCCUACGAGGAGAGUCUUGAGGCUGUAUCAAGGGACGCACAUGUAAUGGUGCGCGUGAAAAGUGUGGAUAGGCGUGAACGAGGAUGGUAUGAUGUUAUUGUUUUGCCAACACAUGAAUAUAAAUGGACUUUUAAAGAAGGCGAAGUUGCAAUUUUGUCGUCCCCCCGGCCUGGUUCAGACGCUGAAGCUGACUGUGGACGGCUUGUAGGUACAGUCAGACGCCAUACGCCUAUUGAUACGCGCGAUCCCAUUGGAGCAAUUAUCCAUUUUUAUGCUGGGGAUUCAUUUGAUUGUAGCAGCGAGACUAAUGUUCUGAGGAAACUGCAACCUCGAAGCACCUGGUAUCUAACGGGUCUUGGUUCCCUUGCAACAACACAAAGGGAAUAUGUAGCAUUGCAUGCACUCCGCCGUCUUAAUGUGCAGAUGCAAAACGCAAUUCUUCAGCCAAGUCCAGAGCACUUCCCAAAAUAUCAAGAGCAGCCGCCUGCUAUGCCUGACUGUUUCACUCCAAGUUUUUCUGAUCAUAUCAAUCGUACUUUCAAUGGGCCUCAGCUAUCGGCAAUUCAUUGGGCUGCAAUGCACACAGCUGCUGGCACAAGCAAUGGAGCGGUUAAGAAACAAGAACCAUGGCCUUUCACAUUAGUACAAGGUCCUCCGGGGACAGGGAAAACCCAUACUGUGUGGGGAAUGUUAAAUGUUAUUCAUCUUGUUCAGUAUCAACACUACUAUGCUGCUCUGCUAAAGAAACUUGCUCCUGAAAGUUACAAGCAAGUUGGUAGUACCACUAACAGCAGCUCGGAGGCUUUUGCUGCGGGGUCUAUUGAUGAAGUUUUGCAGAGCAUGGAUCAGAACCUUUUCCGCACUCUUCCCAAGCUUUGCCCCAAACCACGGAUGCUUGUGUGCGCCCCAUCAAAUGCUGCAACAGAUGAGCUGCUUUCUCGUGUUCUUGACCGAGGUUUCAUAGAUGGUGAGAUGAAGGUUUACCGCCCUGAUGUUGCCCGUGUUGGAGUUGACACACAGUCUCGUGCAGCCCAAGCUGUAUCAGUUGAGCGACGGACGGAACAGCUUUUAAUGAAGGGCCGUGAUGAAGUAAUUGGGUGGUUACAGCAGCUAAAAGGCCGUGAGCAGCAGUUAUCACAGGAGAUAGGGCUUCUACAGAGGGAACUUAAUAUCGUUGCAGCAGCUGGUAGAUCCCAUGGUUCAGUUGGGGUAGAUCCUGAUGUGCUUGCUCACAGGGAUCGUAACCGUGACAUUCUGCUUCAAAAACUUGCUGCCUCUGUAGAAAGCAGGGAUAAAGUACUUGUAGAGAUGUCAAGGCUGCUGAUAUUAGAAAGCAGGUUCCGUGUUGGCAGCAACUUCAAUCUGGAAGAUGCUAGGUCUAAUCUAGAAGCCAGUUUUGCCAACGAAGCAGAAAUUGUUUUUACAACAGUGUCAAGCAGCGGGCGCAGAUUAUUUUCUCGCCUUAGUCAUGGUUUCGAUAUGGUUGUUAUUGAUGAGGCUGCUCAGGCCAGUGAAGUAGGAGUCCUCCCUCCACUUGCACUUGGUGCCGCUAGAUGUGUCUUGGUAGGUGAUCCACAGCAGCUCCCUGCUACUGUUAUUAGUAAAGCGGCUGGAACUUUACUCUAUAGCAGGAGCCUUUUUGAGAGGUUUCAGCAGGCUGGUUGUCCUACCAUUUUAUUGUCAGUGCAAUAUCGGAUGCAUCCCCAGAUCCGAGAGUUUCCAUCACGAUACUUCUAUCAAGGCUGCCUUACAGACAGUGAAAGUGUUGUCAAACUGCCUGAUGAGUUGUAUUACAAAGAUGCAUUAAUGGCACCUUACAUUUUUUAUGACAUCUCACAUGGUCGUGAGUCUCAUAGAGGUGGAUCAUCUUCAUACCAGAAUGUUCAUGAAGCUCAGUUUGCAUUGCGUUUAUACGAGCAUCUUCAGAGGCUUGUGAAAGUUAAUAGUGGUAAGAAGGCAUCUGUUGGUAUAAUCACUCCAUAUAAGUUGCAGUUGAAGUGUCUUCAGCGGGAAUUUGAGGAGGUCAUGAAUACCGAGGAAGGGAAAGAUAUCUACAUAAACACAGUAGAUGCUUUUCAAGGCCAGGAGCGUGAUGUGAUUAUCAUGUCAUGCGUGCGUGCUUCAAACCAUGGCGUGGGUUUUGUUGCAGAUAUACGGCGCAUGAAUGUUGCUCUUACUCGAGCUAGGAGAGCUCUAUGGGUUGUUGGUAAUGCCAGUGCUCUCAUGCAGUCAGAGGACUGGGCGGCGCUGGUAGCUGAUGCAAAGGCCAGGAAAUGUUUCAUGGACUUGGAUAGCAUCCCCAAGGACUUUCUGGCCAUGAAGAUCUCUUCCAACACUCCAGGAAGGAAUUCUUCGAACAACCCAAGGAACUUGAGGACUGGUGGACCAAGACCCAGGCAUCUGGACAUGCUUCCGGACCCCAGGAUUGGCAUGAGGGCUGAUGAGGAUGAGCGUCCUAACUCUGUUCCAAGAAAUGCUAGUUACCGGAAUUUGGAUGACCUGGGACGCUCUGGUGAUAGAUCUAGGGAAAGUUUGCAGUUUGGAGUGGCCAAGAGGCCGAAUUCAUCCAAUGGUUCUCGGAGAGAAGUCUGAAGACAAUGCAUUGCUAUCUUCAUCUUUGCGAGCGCGUAACAAUGAUGAGUUUCCUUGGGAUGAAGCUUGGUUGGAGCAAAGCAUCACCUAUUGGAAGAUGUACACCCUGGGUGGGUUGUGUUAAGGAGAAGGCAUUGCUAUUGACAUAAUGAGAGGAUUCUUUAUGAAAUGAGUAGGCCUCUCGGCGGCAUGUUGCAACAAUAGCCACUGACGGCAGGCCAAUCAGAUCGUCAGAUGGCGCUCUGUUGGGUGGUUCAGAUUACAGUAGAAAAAGGCUGCCCCAGGUCCUCAGUAUUCUGCAAUUGUGCAGGACGCAUUUGGGCUGUUGAUAUAACCAGACUUCAACAAGGCUGCAGCUGGAUGGUCUCUUUCUGGGAUUGCAAUACUAACAGGAUACCAUCUUUCUCAUAGAUAUAAAUACAUGCGCAUGGGCAUUUCCAUUUUGAGACAUGCCAGGAGAGAUAAAUCUCACUGGCCCUAGAGCAGGGUAUACCUGAUGGUGUUUCAUAAUCUGUCAGACGAGUGAGGACACAUCUUAGCUUGGAAUGCUGCUGGUUCGGUGGUGGUCCUCUGAGAUGUCAGAAUUUCAGAAUGCUGAGGGCUAUGACUUCGAUCCUGGCUGGGUGCUGCUGGACGGUGGUGGUCGUCGAAGAUCUCAGGGUGUUUCCUGUUCUGUUGGGUUUGGUGCUGUUGUACGACACGAAAAGAGUACUUGCCAGCUUGGCCCAGGACGACCUUACGUCCAAGCUGGAGUGCUUUUCUGGUUGAAAACGAACAUGCUGCGAACUGUGAUUAUUUCAAUUCGCAACGUAACACAGACUGAUUAUUUUUUCUGGCGAAAAGGAUCUGAUACAUUAUAAAGAUUCACUCAUCUCAAGCACUUGCCGCUGCUCGAACAAGCUGUUGACGCUCCUAUACCGGGGCUGGCCUGUCCUCUUUGCGCAAGUGCUCAAUGCUGUUAGGAUUUAAUUAUCCUAUUAAUCCCUACCUUUCCUAAUUGAGGUGGUUGCUUACCCUUCAAAGGCUAUAUAUAUAUGUGUGUGUGUGUAAUCCCAUCAUCAAUGAGGACGACUGAUUUGU
rnacentral:rRNA from 1 species